rnacentral:rRNA from 1 species
UGACUGCGUACCUUUUGUAUAAUGGGUCAGCGACUUAUAUUCUGUAGCAAGGUUAACCGAUAGGGGAGCCGGAGGGAAACCGAGUCUUAAUUGGGCGUUAAGUUGCAGGGUAUAGACCCGAAACCCGGUGAUCUAGCCAUGGGCAGGUUGAAGGUUGGGUAACACUAACUGGAGGACCGAACCGACUAAUGUUGAAAAAUUAGCGGAUGACCUGUGGCUGGGGGUGAAAGGCCAAUCAAACCGGGAGAUAGCUGGUUCUCCCCGAAAGCUAUUUAGGUAGCGCCUCGUGAAUUCAUCUCCGGGGGUAGAGCACUGUUUCGGCUAGGGGGCCAUCCCGGCUUACCAACCCGAUGCAAACUGCGAAUACCGGAGAAUGUUAUCACGGGAGACACACGGCGGGUGCUAACGUCCGUCGUGAAGAGGGAAACAACCCAGACCGCCAGCUAAGGUCCCAAAGUCAUGGUUAAGUGGGAAACGAUGUGGGAAGGCCCAGACAGCCAGGAUGUUGGCUUAGAAGCAGCCAUCAUUUAAAGAAAGCGUAAUAGCUCACUGGUCGAGUCGGCCUGCGCGGAAGAUGUAACGGGGCUAAACCAUGCACCGAAGCUGCGGCAGCGA